AAUCUCAACUUUAUUAGAAGAGACGCAUUUAUUAGAUAAAAAGCCAAUGCAUGCUUUUACAGUAUGGAAAUUGGUGAUUUAUAAUAACUUGGCAAAUCGCAAAGUGAAAACAGGCGAUAAAUCAUUCAAGUUUCUGACCUAUCAGCUUUCGACGGUAUGGUAUUGGCUUACCGUGGCAGUGACGGUUAACGGGGGAUUAGGGUUCGAUUCCGGAGAGGGAGCCUGAGAAACGGCUACCACAUCUAAGGAAGGCAGCAGGCGCGCAAAUUACCCAAUUCUAACAGUUUGAGAGAGGUAGUAACAAGAAAUAACAAUACAAGGCAAUUAAAAUGUUUUGUAAUUGGAAUGAUAGAAAUUUAAACCCUUUUUAAAGUAUCAAUUGGAGGGCAAGUCUGGUGCCAGCAGCCGCGGUAAUUCCAGCUCCAAUAGCGUAUAUUAAAAUUGUUGCAGUUAAAAAGCUCGUAGUUGAAGUUCUGCUAAAAGUAACCGGUCUGCUUUUAAUAAAAGUGGUAUCUUGGUGUGUAUUUAGCAAUGAUGUCCUUUGAAGUGUUUUUUACUUUAUUGUAAUAAAGCAUAUUCAGGACUUUUACUUUGAGAAAAUUAGAGUGUUUCUAGCAGGCCGACGCUUUGAAUACUGCAGCA
rnacentral:rRNA from 1 species